rnacentral:lncRNA from 1 species
ACUCAACUCAUCCUUAAUAAGGAGAGCCAAAUCUUGGCGUUGUGACCGCACCCUUAGGCGUGCAACAGCCUGGGAGGAAGAUGGAGAUGGAGUCUGGGGUGCCUUGGCCCAAGAGCUGUCCUUCGGAGCUCUGCUCAGCAGCAAACAGCCCUUAGCAGCUGCUGAGCUACGGUGGGAUAGGGCAGGAUAGGGCGGGUUCGGAGCUUGUUCUGUUCUAUCCAACUGUUCAUAAAAACUAACCUUCCUAUUCAAACUUCGGUCCAGUAAUAGAAAGAUUCAAGAUGUUCAUCAAUUCCAAGUGGCUUACUUCUCGUACAGAUCUAUUUUAUUUGAAGAAUGCUUUCAAGUUUUGUAGAAACCAGAAAUUCAGCAGCUCCGGCGUAGGGAUUAUUUCAUAAACCCCCUUAAAGGAAAAGUAAUCUGAAGAGAGAGUAGAUGAAAACCACUGGGCAUGAAAUUAUAAGGCGGGAGGCUAUUUUUUGCUCUUCAGAUUCCUCCAUUUCUCCAGGCCCUCUACCCCAAAGCACAAUGUCAACUGUGGAGGAAUAUUCCUCGUGAGAUCACUACUAAGUCUGUGAGGGCUGCAUGUACACUGGGGCAUUUGAAUUCAUAUAAUAUUAAAUUACUUUUUAAGUAAUUUAAGUGCACUUACAAAGUCAGAAAGGUGUGUGUUUGGAUCAGUAGAGACCAUUCACUGAGCAAUAUGUUUUCGUUAUAACACAGUGAGCUAUGUUAUAGUUAGCAUAUUAGUUUGUAGUUUUUUUCCCUAAUGCAAAUAUAUGUAACCUUAAUUGAAUUGUUGAUGGAUUUUUUAAUAACAUUUAACAAAAUAUGCUUUAGUGCAUUGCCAAGGUUUUACUUAUAAGAACACACUUCACAAUUGGAAAUAAAAUCUUUCAAAGGGGA